rnacentral:misc_RNA from 1 species
CACACGGGAGACCAUCUUCCGGCCCGUGUCCUCGAGAGGAUGGGGGGACCACGAUUUGUGACACCCAGGCAGACAUGCCCUCGGCCAAAAAGCUUGGGGCGCAACUUGCGUUCAAAGACUCGAUGGUUCACGGGAUUCUGCAAUUCACACCAAGUAUCGCAUUUCGCUACGUUCUUCAUCGAUGCGAGAGCCGAGAUAUCCGUUGCCGAGAGUCGUUUUAAACUUUACAUCUGGCACUGCUUCCGAACGAACACCGUCUCCGGGUCUGUCGAACGCAGGUUACUUACUUGAUUGUUCCUUGACACUUUUCUUGCCGUGGUUUGGUGAAAUCCGGAACCUCUGAUUAACACUCAGCCACGACCAAAAGAMGGCUUGGCUGCGAACARAACGCAUAACCACGGAAUCGGCGGGCACRGA